rnacentral:rRNA from 1 species
GACGAACGCUGGCGGUGUGCUUAACACAUGCAAGUCGAACGGAAAGGCCCCUUUGGGGGUACUCGAGUGGCGAACGGGUGAGUAACACGUGAGUAACCUGCCCUUGACUUCGGGAUAACUUCAGGAAACUGGGGCUAAUACCGGAUAGGAAUCCUUGCUGCAUGGUGGGGGUUGGAAAGCUUCGGCGGUUUUGGAUGGACUCGCGGCUUAUCAGCUUGUUGGUGGGGUAGUGGCUUACCAAGGCUUUGACGGGUAGCCGGCCUGAGAGGGCGACCGGCCACAUUGGGACUGAGAUACGGCCCAGACUCCUACGGGAGGCAGCAGUGGGGAAUAUUGCACAAUGGGCGGAAGCCUGAUGCAGCAACGCCGCGUGCGGGAUGACGGCCUUCGGGUCGUAAACCGCUUUCAGCAGGGGCGAAGCUUGUGGUGACGGUACCUGCAGAAGAAGCACCGGCUAACUACGUG